rnacentral:lncRNA from 1 species
CUGUCCUUGCACCCUAAACCCCUUCAGUUCUGUCAAUUUCCUUGCUUUUUAACAUUUACUUUCUUUGAACAGAAUCCUUGCAAGUUCACUUUUCCCCCGGAGCAGCUAGUUCACCUCCUCCUGCUUCUGCUCCUUCUGCUCCUGAUGAAUCUUUGCAAGUCCAAUUUGGACCCGAAGCAACUGGAUCGCCACCUCCUCCUCCUGCUGCUCCUGCUGCUCCUGCUCCUGAUGAUAUUUUUCAGCCUCAUGUUUCACCCCAAGGAGCUGGUAGACCUAUUGCUGCUCCUGCUCCUGUUCCUGCUCCUGCUCCUGCUCCUGAUGGUAAGUCUAUUUUUCAAGCAAUUAUAGUCUCUUGGAAGGGGGUUCCUAGGCAGCAUCUCCCUCCAUGCUGCACAGCUUCUGUAGGCAAAUACAACAAUACUUGAUUUUAAACGUAAUGGAGCAA